CCUACGGGCGCAGCAGUGGGGAAUAUUGGACAAUGGGCGAAAGCCUGAUCCAGCCAUGCCGCGUGUGUGAAGAAGGCCUUCGGGUUGUAAAGCACUUUCAGUGGGGAAGAAAGCCUUGGGGCUAAUACCCUCGAGGAAGGACAUCACCCACAGAAGAAGCACCGGCUAACUCCGUGCCAGCAGCCGCGGUAAUACGGAGGGUGCGAGCGUUAAUCGGAAUUACUGGGCGUAAAGCGCGCGUAGGCGGUCUGAUAAGCCGGUUGUGAAAGCCCCGGGCUCAACCUGGGAACGGCAUCCGGAACUGUCAGGCUAGAGUGCAGGAGAGGAAGGUAGAAUUCCCGGUGUAGCGGUGAAAUGCGUAGAGAUCGGGAGGAAUACCAGUGGCGAAGGCGGCCUUCUGGACUGACACUGACGCUGAGGUGCGAAAGCGUGGGUAGCAAACAGGAUUAGAUACCCUUGUAGUC
rnacentral:rRNA from 1 species